rnacentral:rRNA from 1 species
UCGAACGGAAAGGCCCUUCGGGGUACUCGAGUGGCGAACGGGUGAGUAACACGUGGGUGAUCUGCCCUGCACUCUGGGAUAAGCCUGGGAAACUGGGUCUAAUACCGGAUAGGACCACACACUUCAUGGUGAGUGGUGCAAAGCUUUUGCGGUGUGGGAUGAGCCCGCGGCCUAUCAGCUUGUUGGUGGGGUAAUGGCCCACCAAGGCGACGACGGGUAGCCGGCCUGAGAGGGUGACCGGCCACACUGGGACUGAGAUACGGCCCAGACUCCUACGGGAGGCAGCAGUGGGGAAUAUUGCACAAUGGGCGCAAGCCUGAUGCAGCGACGCCGCGUGAGGGAUGACGGCCUUCGGGUUGUAAACCUCUUUCAGUAGGGACGAAGCGAAAGUGACGGUACCUACAGAAGAAGGACCG